GAUGAAGAACGUAGCAAAAUGCGAUAAGUAAUGUGAAUUGCAGAAUUCAGUGAAUCAUCGAAUCUUUGAACGCACAUUGCGCCCGCCAGUAUUCUGGCGGGCAUGCCUGUUCGAGCGUCAUUUCAACCCUCAAGCACAGCUUGGUGUUGGGACUCGCGUUAAUUCGCGUUCCUCAAAUUGAUUGGCGGUCACCUCGAGCUUCCAUAGCGUAGUAGUAAAACCCUCGUUACUGGUAAUCGUCGCGGCCACGCCGUUAAACCCCAACUUCUGAAUGUUGACCUCGGAUCAGGUAGGAAUACCCGCUGAACUUAAGCAUAUCAAUAAGCGGAGGA
rnacentral:misc_RNA from 1 species